rnacentral:misc_RNA from 1 species
AACCAUAGAAACCUGCGGAGUACCUGCGGAGGGAUCAUUACAGAGUUGCAAAACUCCCUAAACCAUUGUGAACCUACCUUCUACCGUUGCUUCGGCGGGCGGGCCUAGCGCCCCCCCGGCCCCCCGCGGGCGCCCGCCGGAGGAUAACCAAACUCUUGACAUCAGUGGCCUCUCUGAGUAUUCUUUACUGAAUAAGUCAAAACUUUUAACAAUGGAUCU